GCAGAAGUACUCAAGUGGCUGAAGAGGUGCCCCUGCUAAGGGUAUAGGCCGUUUACGCGGUGCGAGGGUUCAAAUCCCUCCUUCUGCG
rnacentral:tRNA from 3 species